rnacentral:rRNA from 1 species
AGUGAACGCUGGCGGCGUGCCUAAUACAUGCAAGUCGAACGGAAUUUAAAAGAGCUUGCUCUUUUAAAUUUAGUGGCGCACGGGUGAGUAAUAUAUAGCUAAUCUGCCCCUUGCUGGAGGACAACAGUUAGAAAUGACUGCUAAUACUCCAUACUCCUUUUUACCAUAAGAUAAAUCGGGAAAGAAUUUCGGCAAGGGAUGAGACUAUAUCGUAUCAGCUAGUCGGUGGGGUAACGGCCUACCGAGGCUAUGACGCGUAACUGGUCUGAGAGGAUGAUCAGUCACAUUGGAACUGAGACACGGUCCAAACUCCUACGGGAGGCAGCAGUAGGGAAUAUUGCGCAAUGGGGGAAACCCUGACGCAGCAACGCCGCGUGGAGGAUGACACUUUUCGGAGCGUAAACUCCUUUUGUUAGGGAAGAAUAAUGACGGUACCUAACGAAUAAGCACCGGCUAACUCCGUGCCAGCAGCCGCGGUAAUACGGAGGGUGCAAGCGUUACUCGGAAUCACUGGGCGUAAAGGACGCGUAGGCGGAUUAUCAAGUCUCUUGUGAAAUCUAACGGCUCAGCCGUUAAACUGCUUGGGAAACUGAUAAUCUAGAGUAAGGGAGAGGCAGAUGGAAUUCUUGGUGUAGGGGUAAAAUCCGUAGAUAUCAAGAAGAAUACCUAUUGCGAAGGCGAUCUGCUGGAACUUAACUGACGCUAUGCGUGAAAGCGUGGGGAGCAAACAGG